UGGAACCAGGCUUUAGAGACUUAAGCUGCUAAAUCACGCAGAAAAUGGAGAGUUUUGUUUUUAUUCGCACCAACCUUCAGCUGCUCAGAAAGCGUCUGCUGGACCGGCGCGGCGGGCCCGUCACCGCUCCUCAUUCAGAGCUGAGGAGCGUGUCGCUGUUCCCCGCCGUGUGUGGAAAGAUGGUCCUGACUCUGACUUUUUGGCCAAUGCUGAGUCCAGAUGACUGGGAUGUGGACCUGGACAGAGAGCCUUCUCCAAUGCUGCCCAGAACAGAUGACAGUACCUGCAUUAAGGUCUGAGGAGGACAUCCGCUGAGGUCUGGUGUCGGGGUUAAACAUGUUGGCCAGCGGACUGACGUGAGCCUUCAAAGGCGGCGCUGGAGGAGGUGACAUGGGCCUCACGUGGUUCUGAGGAGAUGAAAAGAAGAAAGAGUAACAGAUUGCAGAUGGCUUGUUGGUGCUCCUGUUCUUUGCAGUGGACCUCACCUCUGGCUUGUCUUGAUGGAUGAAGCCCAUCUGUUACAUGUGGUUGUACAGAUAGUUAUGCUAAUUCCUUUUUAACAGUCUUGGUACAUUGUGGACAUUCCUGAGCGCAGGGAUACCCAGUUUAGUUUAGUUUGUUUAGUUUAGGAACCAGCUAUUGUUUAUAUUUUAUGACUAACUUUUUGUUUUUGUAUGAUUACCGAUGUGAAGACCAUUGAGACAACUGCAUUGUGAUAUUGGGCGAUAUAAAUAAAACUGUAUUGAA